rnacentral:rRNA from 1 species
GGUCAAGUAAUGAAGUGCACAUGGUGGAUGCCUUGGCAGUCAGAGGCGAUGAAAGACGUGAUAGCCUGCGAUAAGCGUCGGUGAGGUGGCAAUAUCCUGUGACCCGGCGAUUUCUGAAUGGGGAAACCCAGCCAACAUAAGUUGGCUAUCCUAACCUUUGGUUAGGAGGCAAACCGGGAGAAGUGAAACAUCUCAGUACCCCGAGGAAAAGACAUCAAUAGAGAUUCCCCAAGUAGCGGCGAGCGAACGGGGAGGAGCCGAUCAAACUUGUAGUAGCAAAAUGGCGUGGGAAAGCCAACCAUAGUAGGUGAUAGUCCUGUAUGCGAAACUGCAAAUGCGACAUAUUAAGUAGGGCGAGACACGUGAAAUCUUGUCUGAAGAUGGGGGGACCAUCCUCCAAGGCUAAAUACUCCUGACUGACCGAUAGUGAACCAGUACCGUGAGGGAAAGGCGAAAAGAACCCCUGUUAGGGGAGUGAAAUAGAACCUGAAACCGUGUGCAUACAAGCAGUCGGAGCCCACUUGUUGGGUGACGGCGUACCUUUUGUAUAAUGGGUCAGCGACUUAUAUUCUGUAGCAAGGUUAACCGUUUAGGGGAGCCGUAGGGAAACCGAGUCUUAAUAGGGCGAUUAAGUUGCAGGGUAUAGACCCGAAACCGAGUGAUCUAUCCAUGAGCAGGUUGAAAGUGCCGUAACAGGCACCGGAGGACCGAACCCACUGUCGUUGAAAAGCCAGGGGAUGACUUGUGGAUAGGGGUGAAAGGCUAAUCAAACUCGGUGAUAGCUGGUUCUCCCCGAAAGCUAUUUAGGUAGCGCCUCGGACGAAUACCAUUGGGGGUAGAGCACUGUUUCGGCUAGGGGGUCAUCCCGACUUACCAAACCGAUGCAAACUCCGAAUACCGAUGAGUACUAUCCGGGAGACAGACGGCGGGUGCUAACGUUCGUCGUCAAGAGGGAAACAACCCAGACCGCCAGCUAAGGCCCCAAAUUCCUAGUUAAGUGGGAAACGAUGUGGGAAGGCACAGACAGCUAGGAGGUUGGCUUAGAAGCAGCCACCCUUUAAAGAAAGCGUAAUAGCUCACUAGUCGAGUCGGCCUGCGCGGAAGAUGUAACGGGGCUCAAACUAGGAGCCGAAGCUGCGGAUUUAAUUGUUUCAAUUAAGUGGUAGGGGAGCGUUGUGUAAGCCUGUGAAGGUGUGUUGUAAAGCAUGCUGGAGGUAUCACAAGAGCGAAUGCUGACGUGAGUAACGACAAAACGGGUGAAAAGCCCGUUCGCCGGAAGACCAAGGGUUCCAGUCCAACGUUAAUCGAGGCUGGGUGAGUCGACCCCUAAGGCGAGGCCGAAAGGCGUAGUCGAUGGGAAAUCGGUUAAUAUUCCGAUACUUGUUUAUGAUGCGAUGGAGGGACGGAGAAGGUUAUGUCAGCCUGGCGUUGGUUGUCCAGGUGAAAGGAUGUAGGUAGGUUUAGUAGGCAAAUCCGCUAGACUAUUACUGAGAUCUGAUAGCAAGCCAGUUUACUGGCAAAGUGGCAAAUACCCUGCUUCCAGGAAAAGCUUCUAAGCGAUAGUCAUAAACAAAUCGUACCCGAAACCGACACAGGUGGUCAGGUAGAGAAUACCAAGGCGCUUGAGAGAACUCUGCUGAAGGAACUAGGCAAAAUGGUACCGUAACUUCGGGAGAAGGUACGCUGCCGAUGGUGAUAAGACUUGCUCUUUGAGCUGUUGGCAGUCGCAGAUACCAGGCUGCUGCAACUGUUUAUUAAAAACACAGCACUCUGCAAACACGAAAGUGGACGUAUAGGGUGUGAUGCCUGCCCGGUGCUGGAAGGUUAAUUGAUGGGGUUAGCGUAUGCGAAGCUCUUGAUCGAAGCCCCAGUAAACGGCGGCCGUAACUAUAACGGUCCUAAGGUAGCGAAAUUCCUUGUCGGGUAAGUUCCGACCUGCACGAAUGGCAUAAUGAUGGCAGCGCUGUCUCCAGCAGAGACUCAGUGAAAUCGAAAUCGCAGUGAAGAUGCUGUGUACCCGCGGCUAGACGGAAAGACCCCGUGAACCUUUACUACAGCUUUACAUUGAACUUUGACCUAACUUGUGUAGGAUAGGUGGGAGGCUUUGAAGUGGCGACGCCAGUUGCCAUGGAGCCAUCCUUGAAAUACCACCCUGGUUAUGUUGGGGUUCUAACUUAGAUGUAACAACAUCAAGGACAAUGUAUGGUGGGUAGUUUGACUGGGGCGGUCUCCUCCUAAAGAGUAACGGAGGAGUACGAAGGUGCGCUCAGAACGGUCGGAAAUCGUUCAAAGAGUAUAAAGGCAAAAGCGCGCUUAACUGCGAGACCCACAAGUCGAGCAGGUACGAAAGUAGGUCUUAGUGAUCCGGUGGUUCUGUAUGGAAGGGCCAUCGCUCAACGGAUAAAAGGUACUCUGGGGAUAACAGGCUGAUACCGCCCAAGAGUUCAUAUCGACGGCGGUGUUUGGCACCUCGAUGUCGGCUCAUCUCAUCCUGGGGCUGAAGCAGGUCCCAAGGGUAUGGCUGUUCGCCAUUUAAAGAGGUACGCGAGCUGGGUUUAGAACGUCGUGAGACAGUUCGGUCCCUAUCUACCGUGGGCGUUGGAAAUUUGAGAGGAUCUGCUCCUAGUACGAGAGGACCAGAGUGGACGAACCUCUGGUGUUCCGGUUGUUUCGCCAGAAGCACUGCCGGGUAGCUAUGUUCGGAUGGGAUAACCGCUGAAAGCAUCUAAGCGGGAAGCCCACCUCAAGAUUAGAUUUCCCUAAAGAGCCGUUGUAGACUACGACGUUGAUAGGUUGGGUGUGGAAGCAUGGCGACAUGUGUAGCUAACCAAUACUAAUUGCUCGUUUGGCUUGACCAU